rnacentral:rRNA from 3 species
AACGGUAACAGGAAGCAGCUUGCUGCUUCGCUGACGAGUGGCGGACGGGUGAGUAAUGUCUGGGAAACUGCCUGAUGGAGGGGGAUAACUACUGGAAACGGUGGCUAAUACCGCAUAACGUCGCAAGACCAAAGAGGGGGACCUUCGGGCCUCUUGCCAUCAGAUGUGCCCAGAUGGGAUUAGCUUGUUGGUGAGGUAACGGCUCACCAAGGCGACGAUCCCUAGCUGGUCUGAGAGGAUGACCAGCCACACUGGAACUGAGACACGGUCCAGACUCCUACGGGAGGCAGCAGUGGGGAAUAUUGCACAAUGGGCGCAAGCCUGAUGCAGCCAUGCCGCGUGUAUGAAGAAGGCCUUCGGGUUGUAAAGUACUU